AAGGGAGACCUAAUUCCGGUAUGGGAUGAAAAAAAAGUAGUCCCUACCAAGAAUCAAUCCCAAAAGGUCGGAGCGAGGCGAAAUUGGCUUUCAAACUAGGUUCUGGGUUCAAACAAGACCUGAAUCAGGAACAAGGGCUAUUAGCUCAGGUGGUUAGAGCGCACCCCUGAUAAGGGUGAGGUCCCUGGUUCGAGUCCAGGAUGGCCCACCUGCACAGGUGGAAGAAAGAAAAAAAGCUCCGAAUCAGCACCUUAUCUUACUUAUAUAGUAAGAGAGAAUGCUGGCUCUGAGUACAGAGUCCAGAGGAACCUUGAAAACUGCAUAGAGCUAGGUGAAAAAGCCAAAAAAGAAGACCGCAA
rnacentral:tRNA from 1 species